CGAGAAGCCAGUCCACAGGCCCUUUGACAAAGAUUUGGAGUUCUUAAGGCGAUGCAUUGGAAGAUAAAGUCCACCAGCUGCUGCUUCCACCACACCACAGAUCAUGCCAGUCCUCUCUCAUGUCAAACAGAUUUAUUUCCUAGUGAUAGCAGUAGUAGUAGUGGUAACAUUGAGCAGUCUACCAACUGUCCAACGAUAUUGCUUUGAUAGAGUCAGCUCUGUGCACAUCCGACACACUUUGUAUGAUUGAGAGGGGCACAUGGCUUGUAUCGCUUCAGUCUUCCCCUCGCUGUUUGUAAACACUUUUUUUUUCCCCAGUCAUGUCUUUAUGUAAUGUAAAACAAUUUGGCACAUUUUGGUCACA